GUUGAACGCUGGCGGCAGGCUUAACACAUGCAAGUCGAGCGGAGUGAUGGUGCUUGCACUAUCACUUAGCGGCGGACGGGUGAGUAAUGCUUAGGAAUCUGCCUAUUAGUGGGGGACAACAUCUCGAAAGGGAUGCUAAUACCGCAUACGUCCUACGGGAGAAAGCAGGGGAUCACUUGUGACCUUGCGCUAAUAGAUGAGCCUAAGUCGGAUUAGCUAGUUGGUGGGGUAAAGGCCUACCAAGGCGACGAUCUGUAGCGGGUCUGAGAGGAUGAUCCGCCACACUGGGACUGAGACACGGCCCAGACUCCUACGGGAGGCAGCAGUGGGGAAUAUUGGACAAUGGGGGGAACCCUGAUCCAGCCAUGCCGCGUGGAGGAUGAAGGCCUUCGGGUCGUAAACUCCUGUCGAGAGGGACGAAAUGGCGCUCUGUCAAUAGCAGGGCGUCUUGACGGUACCUCUGGAGGAAGCCCCGGCUAACUCCGUGCCAGCCGCCGCCGUAACAU
rnacentral:rRNA from 1 species